UACGUAGGUGGCAAGCGUUGUCCGGAAUUAUUGGGCGUAAAGCGCGCGCAGGCGGUCCUUUAAGUCUGAUGUGAAAGCCCACGGCUCAACCGUGGAGGGUCAUUGGAAACUGGGGGACUUGAGUACAGAAGAGAAGAGUGGAAUUCCACGUGUAGCGGUGAAAUGCGUAGAGAUGUGGAGGAACACCAGUGGCGAAGGCGACUCACUGGCCCGAUACUGACGCUGAGGCGCGAAAGCGUGGGGAGCAAACAGG
rnacentral:rRNA from 1 species